rnacentral:piRNA from 1 species
UAAUACUUUAUUAAAGUGAAUUUUUUUGGA